rnacentral:lncRNA from 1 species
UUUUUUUAAUUUAAUUUUAUUUAAAUUCAAUUAAUGAACAUCUCAUGUAUUAUUGGUUUCAGAGGUAGGGGGUCAGUGAUUCAUCAGUCUUAUAAAAUACCCAGUCCUCAUUACAUCAUAUGCCCUCCUUAAUAUCCAUCACUCAGUUAUCCCCACUCCUUACCCCCUUCCCCUCCAGCAACCCUGUUUGUUUCCUAUGAUUAAGAGUCUCUUAUGUUUGUCUCCCUCUCUGAUUUCAUCUUGUUUUAUUUUUUACUCCUUCCCCUAUGAUCUUUUGCUUUAAGUUCCACAUAUGAAUGAGAUCGUAUGAUAAUUCUUUCUCUGAUUCAUGUAAAUUUUGUCCAACGUAACUUGUGUAUUUGAUCAAAAUUUUUUAUUUCGCUAUUUCUGUUUGGUUUUUCAGUUUUUAGUUCUACUCACUUAUAGAUGACAAAAAAUGAAAUAUUAACAUUUGAAAGAAAAUUAUGUUGUAACUAUUUAAAUAAAUCUAUAAUAGAAUUGACACUAAUUGAUAGAAACUAGUAAUGUUUUGUGGAUACCUCAGAAAUACUGUCAUUAUAUUUAGAAUUAUAUUUUCCCCUUUUAUAUACUGGUUUCUACUCUACAAAUUGAGAAGGAAACACAUUUUUUUCCCUAUUUCUCUUAAUGUUAUUAGCACUAGUAAUUUCACAUGGAAAUAUCCAUGUUUAUCAAAAUAAAUAAUGUUGAGUGGUUAAAGUAUAAAUGACAAAUCACUUAGUAAAAGUUCUCAGAGUCUUAUCUUCAUAUGAUGUGUUAUUUUUCUCACAGCUCCAACUUUGCACUAUUUUCAGGUGCUUCCCAGGUACAAUUUGCUGACAUUCUAUAAGCUUUAAAGGACUAGCAACCUCUUCUACAAGUACAAAGGAUAUAUGUAACAGCAGUGGUUUGAAUUGCAGCAAAUGGAUCGCAUACAAGUAGAUCAAACAAUAGUUUAAUAGGUAGCAUUAUAUCCAGAUAUCUAGAACAGCAUCUGCCCUACCUUUGUAAAUGGGAAAAGGUCAUUAUUUUCAGGCCAAAGAGAACUUGAGAAAUGUCUCAAUAAAAAGGACAGUGAUGGAUUCAAACAAACAAACUCUGUUCUCUGAGAGUCCUAAAUUCCACUUCUCUAUAACACAUGAUGUAAAUCACUAUAAAUGAUCAUCUAUCUCCCUUGAUCAUCCCAUAUCUCCUGCUGACGAAUUUUCUAAACACAGCUAAAAUUUCCAUAUACCUUCCUUACUGAAAUAGAAGAAAUUUUAACAAUUGUCUGAUCAUGAGCUUCUGGGAAAACCAAAACCAAAACCAAAAAAGAUAUAAAAUUGAGUCUGCAAAGGAAACGAGGAAAUUAUCUAUGAAUCAAAUCCAUAAUCAUCCUCUAAAUCAAAGUAAUGGCCCCUUGGAAUCUCUUUUCCUGUUAUCACUGCAUACAUCAGUGUCGGACCCAUCCAUGAUCAUGCUUGGCAAGAACAAAUAUUAUAUGUUAGAUGCAGCCAAUAAGCCACCUCAAUAUAUAUGGAGAGAUAGUUCUCCAUAAUGUUCUUAAUUUUGUAACAUAAAGAAAAGACUUAUCUUUAUGAAGUCUUUACGUAAAAUAAUGAAAAGACUUUUCAUACUUUAUGUAACAUAGUGAAAAGACUUUUCAUAUUUUUUGUUGGCUUAAGUGAAAAAAUAUUGGGAUAGUUGUCCUUGCUUUCUCCAGAGCCAUGGGAAAAACAUUUAGAUAUAAAAUGACUGGUUUUAUCUGUUUAACCAUGAACAAUAGAUAUUGUCAAAUUCUCAAAACAAAACUGAAGUGUAUAUUAAUGUUUUGAAUAUGCAAUCUGAUAUACUGACUUCUAUAUUACUGUGCUGUCACCUAAUUUCAGAAGUCUAUGCCCUGCCAGUUUCAGUGAAGAAAAUUCUUCCAAUGUGCAUAUGGCAGAAUUUGGUGGUUGACUUCUUACAACAAAGAAAAAUGGAGUGUUGAGGAUGGACAGUACUCUUACUACAAACACAGAUUAUGUUUAAUCAUGAUCUGAGAAAGAUGCAAUCUUUAGAAAAUUAAAGGAAAAAUACAGAAAUGAAAUAUGAAUUGAGAAAAAUUACAGAGAAGUAUUUGGGGUUGAUAUGUCAGAAAAAAGAAAAUUCACAUCUGUAAACAGACAAUAACGACUAAGUGCUAAAAUUUUAAUGCUCAUGCAGGCGAAGGAGGCCAAUGAUUAGCUAAAAUUUCAAAUAUUCAUUAUCAAACAAGACAAAGGGCAGAUAAGCCAUUAUUAAGAAAGGGACAAAAAUAUGGAUUAAAUAGUAUGAUAAAGCAAAUGAAAAUUAAAACUGAAAACUUCAUUUAAAAAUUCAAUUAUCCAGGGAUGCCUGGGUGGCUUAGCGAUUGAGCAUCUGCCUUCGGCUCAGGGCGUGAUCCUGGGGUCCUGGGAUGGAGUCCCCCAUAGGGCUCCCUGCAUGGAUCCUGCUUCUCCCUCUGCCUGUGUCUCUGCCUUUCACUCUGUGUCUCUCGUGAGUAAAUAAAUAAAAUCUUAAAAAAAAUAAUAAAUAAAUAAAAAUUAAAUUAUGCAUAUCUUGAGUCUGUAAACUUUAAAGCUCUCUGAUGCCUUCAAACAUGUAUGUUUAAUUUUUUUUCCAGCUUUUCCAAUGACUCUAAGGUUUCCUGCACUGUGGGUAUAAAAACUAAUGGAUACUUUCGUUAUUUCCCAAUGGAGAGCCUUGCAAAGGAUUUUCUUUGGUACAGUAAAUCUGGUCAAGUUUCAUAAACAAUUAUCUAAUUUGAAUCAUCAUUUCCAAGGAGCAUUCAACCUAAGGCUGGAGCUCUUAUAUAUUGGACUUAUAAGCAUUUCACAGGUGUCUACACAUGAAACUACAUGAGUAACAGAAUUGUCCACAGUUUACACAAUCACUCUCUUAUUUUAAGUGGAUUUCAAAGAGCACUUGUACCAACAAUGUUUUUGAACUGCUCUCAAUGACACAAACAUUACAAUAAGGCUGCUGUUAAAGAUACAUUUUAACUCAUUUCAAGGGUAAAGAUUUAAUCCAAAGUACAAAGGAGUACUCCAGCACAUGUCUAAAAUCGCAGACUACAGCUUCAAAAUAUAAUACAAAGAUGACUUUGAAUUGACUACUAGGUCCAUGUCACUAAUUAAAAGUAUUAUAGAAAUUAAAUAACGUCAAAGCCAUUAGUAAUUAGCAUAUCUUUUAUGUAGUUUUAACUGUUUAGUUAUGAAUGAAGGUGCAAAGCACCUCAUAUGAUGUUAACUUCAUAUAUUAAGACAAUAAUUUUCAUAUAUAAGAGGAAAGCAUAUAAAAUUAGCUUUAUAUGAAGGAUUAUGGCUAUUCCUACUAGAAGGUCUAGUGGUUGUAAUAUCUUUAAAUAAGUGAUUUUAUAUAAUUGAUGGAGCUCUGUUUCUCCAUUCCUUGCCCUUGCUACUUUUUUAUUGUUGGUUUUAGCCCACAGAAAUCUUAUUCAUUACAGCCAGCAUUUCCAGACUCUAAGAAUGAUCCAUUCUUAAAGUUGGCAAUCUCCAAGAAGCAAGAUUUUCUUCUUGUGACUUCAGAAUGUAGAGUAAUGGCUCUGUUUGCUCUGGUUGUCUUACACACAUACACAUAGUCCACACGGAGAAGGGCUUGAACCACAGGUGGAGUCUUGGUAGAAUAACUUAUGAUCCUCCCAGAACAGAAGACGAAAGGUUUGCGAGAAGCAACUCAAAAACCAACUCUCACUCCCUCAGUACGUCAUCUGUGAGGCUAUCCUGAAACAAUUUUUCACCACAUCCAGAUUCUGAUGUGAUUGGGGCUCUCUGUCCCACCCUCCUCAGAAUAAAGCUUCAAAAUAUAAAACCACUUAGCAUGUAUUCUAGAAUGGGCUCCUCAGUGAUGGGUUAUCCAGCACCCACUCAGUGCAGUCUUUCGGCCUCUUUUUUUGUGUCAUCCUGUUUUGUACGGGACAAGAAACAGGGAGCUGGCACCUUAGGCUUAUCUUUCUUUUCAUGGUUUAUGUAAACAAUAAACUGUCUAUGCAAUACUAAUUGUUUUAUUAUCUCUUUACAGUCACAUCAGACAGGCCUUCGUCUUAGCUUGUCUUAUGCGUGCUUCACAGAAAAAUCAAAUGACCAUGUAGGCUGCCAUGGAAAGAGAAAAACUUCAUGAUGUGCAGGAGAAAUUUAAAAACUAUAGAAGGUGGAAAUAUUAAAUUGUAACUGAGAUAUAAUCUUAACCAAAUAAACCUUUAUCUUUAACUUUUUGGAAGAUCACAAAUACCUCUUUUAUAUCAGAGGGUUUCUUUUUCUAUUGCAAGUGUAAUAAAUUAGCACAAAUGUAUGACUUAAAACAACACAAAUGCAUGAUCUUACGUAGGUCUGUAUAUAGAAUCAGAUGUCUUGCUGGGCUUGAUCUUCCGUUUUCAAAGUCAACAGCAUGCAUCUCUCUGAUCAUUCUUCUGUCACUUGCUACAGCUGAUAAAGGAUCUCUACCUUUAGGACUCAUAUGGUGAGAUUUGUCCCAUGCAGAUAAGGAUAAUCCAGGAUAAUGUCCCCAUCUCACAAUCCUUUUUGUAGUAACGUCUACAAAGUCCAUUUUGCCGGGUAAGGUAACAGUCAAGUGUCUAAAGAUCAGGCUGUGGACAUCUUUGGGAAGGCACUUUACUUUUGCCAUCAGAAAUUGCUGACAAUUGUUUAAAAAAUAUUUGUAGUUAUGCUUGCUAAACUUGGAAUGCUAGCGGGAGGAGAUAAAAUGGAGUCCACAUUCCCAGCAGCCACGGUAGAAACACAGAGUUAGUAUGAGCAGUUGCUAGCUGGAACCAUGAAAAUCAAAAUAUCAUGGUCAUUAUGAAAGGCAGAAGAGCAGAUGGACCAUUCAGAACCCAGAGAGUGGUCUAAAAUGCAGAUUUGACUGGAAUUAUAUGGCUCCUAAGAUGAAAUCAAUAGGCAGCUAAGUAACUAAACCACAGGCAACCAAGUAACUGGCAAAACUCAGAUUUUAUAAUUGAAAACAUCUGGGUCACCAAGUGAACCACGAAGCUCUAAAAAUUAUGACUCUGUCCUGUUUUCAUACCUAUGCGAAAAAUCCAAGCCUUCCGAAAAGAAGGUUAAGCGAGUCUCCUAAGGAAUUUUUCUUUUGCAUCACUCAUGUUGGCAGGAACCACUGAUCUGAUCCUUUCCCAAAGGAAACUGUCACUCACUAACCAAGUAACUGACCCCAACUUAACCCCAGUUCCAGCAUGUGACCUUAAUCCACGAGGCUGAAUGAAGCCUUAUCAGGUAAUAAAUGGAGUUCCUACUGAAGACCUCAGCUUAACCUAUAUUGUCCUAAAUCAAUCUAUGUAUAUUUACUUUAUCUUUAACUUUUCCUGAAGGGGAAAUUAUGUUACAUUUUGAUAUCCAUAGAAAAUGACAAAAUUGGUAUAAUAUUUAAGGUUGGAACAAUAAAGUCUCGUGUAGCCAUAGGUAACAAGCUGGGGGUACUGUCUUCCAAAGCCUCUGCUGCUCCCUGGGUCAAAGGGAAUGAGUAUCACAGGACAUUGUCACAUGGCCACAGCAACCCAGAGUGGGGUGGCACACUGGCUGUACCAUUCUGCUUCAGAAAAUACUGGAACUGAUAUAUUCAGCACCAGUGGAAUCCUGAGAUCAGCACCCUGAACCAUGCGGCCAGACACCUCAUCGCAGAAAUGUGAUGUCACAUGUCCUACCUGUAACGCGCAACCACCUGGUAGAUGUUGUCAGCAGCAGAGCUGAUACUCCCGUGGUAUAGAUCACACAGCACUCUAAUGGCCUUGCAUCCGCUUUGAUCUGUCAGCCUCAAUUUGAAUGUCUAGUGCCUAUGCUUAACCGUGUAUUGACUACACUUAAUAUCAACUUGGCCGCAGUACAAGACAUGGAAAACAUGGGUGUUUUGGCUCCUUAUAGAUCUCUUUUAAUUUUUUUUUAAGUUUUAUUUUUAUUUUUUAAAAGAUUUUAUUUACUCGUGAGAGAUAGAGAGAGAGAGACAGAGGCAGAGACAGGCUCCAUGCAAGGAGCCUGACGUGGGACUCGAUCCCGGGUCUCCAGGAUCAGGCCCUGGGCUGAUGUGACGGUGGCACUAAACCACUGGGUCACCAGGGCUGCCCCUUUUAAUUAUUUUUGAUGAAAUCAAAUAAAAAUUUAAAAUGACAGGGCUGGAGAAUAACACCGCAGGGGUUAACUUAACCAAGUUAUGUCUUCCGUGGUAGAUGCGGCUCUGAAUAUGUUCUUUACUAGAGCAAACUAGUACCAUCCCUGAAAGCUGAAAUACUAUUAUGCAUCUGGUAAAUGGAGGUCUCUCUGUAGCAGGUGUAAAAAAAAAAAAAAAAAAAAAAAAAAAA